AUUGAACGCUGGCGGCAGGCCUAACACAUGCAAGUCGAACGAGUGGCGGACGGGUGAGUAAUGUCUGGGAAACUGCCCGAUGGAGGGGGAUAACUACUGGAAACGGUAGCUAAUACAGCAUACAAUCGGAUGUGCCCAGAUGGGAUUAGCUAGUAGGUGGGGUAACGGCUCACCUGGGCGACGAUCCCUAGCUGAGCGGAGAGGAUGACCACACAAACUGCAGCUGAGACACGUUCCAGACUCCAAGGGGAGGCCACAGUGGAGAAUAUUGCACAAUGGGAGCAAGCCUGAUGCGGCCAUGCCGCGUGUAUGAAGAAUGCCUGCGGGUUGUAAAGUACUUUCAGCGAGGAGGCGUUACUCGCAGAAGAAGGACCGGCUAACUCCGGGCCAGCCGCCGCGGUAAUUC
rnacentral:rRNA from 1 species